AUGAAUGAAUUCUUUGUAAUGAAUUCUUUUCUCUUUCAAUUCCAUAAGAAUUAGUAUCACUUACAGAAUUAUGUAUGACUCAUUAAAUUCCAAAUAGCUAAGCUGACAUGUGUAAGGCAUUGCCAGAAAAUCCUGCCUUUAGGGAAGCAAUAACCGAGUUGUCAAAAAGUCAACAGUUACCUAACCGCCCUGGGAAACACAAUGAAGUUUUGGCAGUUAGGCUGCUGAGGGAAGACUUGGUUUGCCCAGGCUUUCUGUGGUAACUUCCUCCUCUAGUGGGAGAAACUGCCAGUAAAGGAAGAAUGACAAUUUACAUACCAAGGCAAGGCUAAUCUGCCUUGUGUGUUAGUCACAGCCUGCCUACUUGAGACAUCCUGGGAAAUCCCUAGCUGACUCCAGGAAAAACGGCUUCUGUGGCACAUUUUGUCCCGAGCACAAGUAGAAUGAGUGGUGCAGAAAGUUCUACAGAGCAUGCAGAGUGUGCUCAAUCGUCUAGAAGAAAGAAUUUAAAUUCUCUUGAACAAAAGAUACGGUCCCUGGAAAAACAGAGAAAAGAGCUCCUGGAAGUUAACCAGCAAUGGGAUCAGCAAUUUAGAAGUAUGAAAGAGUUAUAUGAAAAAAAGGUCGCAGAGCUGAAAACGAAAUUGGAUGCAGCAGAAAAAGUCCUGGGCACGCUGGAGAAAGAGCAGCAGCCAAGUUUGAGAGAGAGCGGCGCACGGAGCGACCAGACCUGGGAGAAGCUGCGUGAGGAGAAGGAAAAGGAGAGCCUAAGCGAAGAAUUACAUGAAUUGAAGAAAGAAAAUAAGCUGUUGAAGGAAAAAAAUGUUCUGGCAAACCAGAAGAAGCAAUGUUAUGAAUAUGAAAUAAAACGCCUCAAUAAGGCUCUUCAGGAUGCCUUGAAAUUAGAAAGUUCUUCGUCUCCUGAAGACUGUUUGGGGAAGUGUGAAAUGGAGUGCAGCCAUGAGGAGAUGAAAACAGAAAUGGAAGUUCUCAAACAGCAGGUGAGAAUUUGAAAGUGGCAUGAUUGUGCGGUGAAUUUAGGUCCGUUGUUCAUGCUGUUUUCGACAUUUCUAGCAGUCCUGCUAUUCAAAAUGUGCCGAAGAUUUUUUCAUGUGUUUUAAUGAGAAUUACCUAAUUUUAAAGCUUGAUGGAAAAAUAUAGAUCAACUAGCCCAACUCUCACACUUUAUAAAUGAGAAAAUUGAGUUUCAGUUGGGUUAAGUGGCUUGCCCAAGAUCACACACUUAAAAGAGGGGCAAUCUAAUUAACCUUUUGGUGAGAUUCUAUUAGCACUGAGUCUAGAGAGUCUCAUGUAGACACAAUUUAUUUUGAAGAUGCUAUUAACCCAAACUCUGGACCUUUUCAGAAAAUGGUAGUAGCUGGGCUGUUAUUCAGUAGCUACAGGCCUCCAGGCUUUUGAACAGUGAGGGCAGUUUUCAAGGGAAUACUCUGCUCUGAUGACUGAAGAGCCAGAUUUGUUCAUCUACCCUUACAUACUGUUGGUACAGCCUAGGAAUUUAUUGAUGCACAAUGGCUUCCUCUUUCCCACUCACCCAGCUUCACUGACUGUUGCCAAGUGCACAGCAAGAGUAAGGGAUGUUCUCUCUACACUUCUGCACAUGUCAACAGCAUAGGGUUGUGGAGAUAGAACAUACUUGAGUCUAAAUUUAGUUCAGCCAGCUGGAGCUAGCUUAGCUUAGGGACCACCCAUCAUAUCACAUCUCUUUUCCUAAGAGAGCUUAAAUAAGCUAAUGUAGGUAAAGGGCUAGAACAACUCAUGGUGAUAUAGAUAAAUACAGAAAAUAUAAAAAUUCCAGUCUCUGAAGCAUACAUUGUCAGUAAUACAUUAGCAGUGAGGGAGAGGGUGUCAUAUAACAAAACUUGGAAAGUACUAUUUUCUGAUGUCCCUGGGUAUGACUUGGCUGUUUUGCUCUGAUCAAGUUCCAGUUACAAGGAUUCAUGAUGCAAUACAUGGAAGUAUUGAGCAAUUGUGAUAUUGUUGUUACUCACUUUAUUAUUACUUCAUAGGAAGUAAUCUAUAAAUCUAAAAAAUUCAGAGCAUUUGAUUUAAAGUUGAUUUUUUUUCUUCUAUCAACCCCAUUUGAAUAAUCUGCUUCAUUACACUCAGGAUCAAAUAUAUAGCUUAAAUAAAUCCAUGGAGAGAAUAAGGUUAUAGUCAGAACAUCAAAUCUCUGCCAAAUUCUCAACCCCUAAAGUACCAUUGGCACUAGCCAGGAUUCCUCUGAAAAAAGUACUGCUUACAUUCAAACACUUGAGUCAUCUUCAAUGCUCUCACGUAACAUAUACCACAUGCCAGAAAAUUGCUCUUAAACAUGGUGUGCCUGCUUACACAUGCUCUUUACAGUAAUGGUUUAGUUCAUAUUCGAUACAAACAAUGGCAGGUUUUCUUUUUUUCAUAAUCCCCAGGAGUAGACCAGAAUCAAUUUCCUUAGUUUUUGUGUGGCUCUUUUGCUUACUUUUUACAUUCGCAUUUUAACUGUGUACAUUUCUAAUUGAACACCUACAAUCAUUAUAUCACCAAUGCUGCAUAAAACCCUAAAGGAUUUAAAUUCACAAAGAAACUGAACUAGAAUCUUGGCCACCUAAGUGAUGACAUCGCUCUCAGUGUUGUGUUUGAUAGAGUGUUCUGUUCUAAUCAGAUGGGCUUCUCCCACUUCAAAUGCCUCUGGUAAUUAUUUACAGAGCCUUGGUUUAACUCAUCUGGAUUUGAACCUCAGCUCUCAAUCAAAAAACAAAAAACAAAACAGAGCAAAAGGUCAGCUUGGCUGGGUAAAUUCCCUUGCAACACUUCUGCCAAAUAAAAGCCUUAAAAUUAAUAAGUAUAUAUAUAAAAUCUGCCUCUAGGGUCAGGUAAAAUGUUUAAUUUCUUCCUCUCUUGGCUAUUACAUUUGGUCUUGUUAUUAUUGACUUAAAUUGGAUAAUCAUUUAGUUAAAAUUUGUUGCACUGUUAGCAAUGAUGGUAUAAUGUGCAUUAAUGUUAAUAGACAAAAUCUAGCUGCUGAGUUCCCAUGUAAGUUGUAAUUUAAAUCUGGUUUUAGAGGAAUUCCUUUGUCUCAUUCCUUAAACUUCAUUGUGUUCAUAACUCUGCAUUCUAGUCUCCAGGCCAUCAGUCAACACUAUGCCAAUUAAAACAACAAUAAUUAAAUCUGGGGGUUUUUUUUGUUUUGUUUUGUUCUGAUUUGAUUACUUUUCCGGAAUAUUUGGAGUCCCUCUCAAAAGGCAUUACUUCUUUUUUAAUGAUACACCCCCACAAUUGCUUAUAAAGGGCAACUCUGUUGAACAUAUUUCAACAAACAUGCUCUGCUUUCCCAUGUAUAUGAGCCUUUCAUUUCUAUCUUCUGCUCAGCUUAUAAGUUAUAUUUAGAAACUUGGGCAUGCCGAUAUUUAGUGGCUUCACUUAACAGCUAUUGUCAGUAAACUGUCUUUAAGAACUUCAAGCAGUAUUCAUACAUCAAAGCCUUGUUUUAAGGACGGAUGAUUUGCCCAAAACUGUGACAACACUGGGGAGGGGGAGGGGAGAGUGGAGUGAGGUGUCAUGAAAUAGAGGUGAGGGGAAUUUUUUUCUCAAAGUAUCCAUGUUAUUAUUUUACUUCUGAAUUCCUGAUACAUGCUCAAGGAGGAAAACAUUGCAAACUUCCCUCCUGGACAAAGUGAAAAAAUAAAAUUAUAGCCAUAUGUAUCAAGGUGGAGUCCCCCCCUUGAAGAAAUAUUCAUGAAAACAGGACAGGAGUAUCUCAGAUUGGACAAACCCAGGUAACACUUCUUCUGAACUCAUUUAAAUUACUUAAGAGAAAAGGAAGCUAAAAGUAACAGCAAGUUAAUAUUUCUUAGGUACAAAUAUAUGAAGAAGACUUCAAAAAGGAGCGAUCAGACCGAGAAAGACUUAAUCAAGAAAAAGUGGAACUACAGAAAAUUAAUCAAACUUCUCAAUCCCAGCUGAACAAGCUGAAUUCUCAGAUAAAAGCUUGUAAGAUGGAGAAAGAAAAACUAGAAAGGCAGUUAAAACAGAUGUAUUUCCCAACCUGUAAUUGCGGCUGGAAUUUCCAUCUGCGGGAUCCAUGUGUACCAACAGGUCCUGGGGCUGUGCAGGAUCUACAAAAGCACCCACCAGACUAUCGGUGGUAUGCUCCUGACCAAUUUCCGCCAGAUGUGCAGCACAAGGCAAAUGCUUUCUCCUCAGAAAAGAAAGCCAAUCAGUAGAAGCACACCAGUGGAGGAGCACAGAGGCCAAGGGAGCCCUUGGCCCGAGGCCCUCGUUCUUCUCUCUACUGUGGUCUGUGUCUGCACAUCGUCUACUCCACCAUUUGCGCUGGUAAUGUUUCCCUUUGGCAUGGAUGGAGGAUAAGGCUGUGACAGCUGAGAUCCUGACCAAGUCUGAGGAGGCGGAAUCUCACAACCUCAUAACAUCAGUUUCCUCGAAAUGAGAUUUGACAGAUGGAUUAUGGGCCUUUCCUAGAAACUCUCUUCAGCAUAUUGCUAUUGGAUUUUCAGGGAUGACUUCAUGAUUUCAGCCACUCCACUUGAAGUGCAGUGAUAUUGUAUGUUGAUUUAAAUAUAUGUUCCCUGGGGGAAAAGUUUUUGCAGUUGUAAAAUUUUAACAUUGCUCCCAUUAUUUUUAUAGGGGCAUAGUUCUUUAGUCAGUUUAACUCGAUGCCACUAUGUUCGUCAUUGUUGGCCUUAGUGAACUGUAAAUAGAACUGAAGAGAUGUAUGUACUUCACCUCUAUACUAAAUGAGUGGUUAAAUCUGUAUAAAAUGGUAAACUUGAAACUAUUCUUUAAACAAAUCAUUUCUUUAAGAUGAGAAAUUGUGAGCAUACCUCAUUUUUAGGUGAACUAGAUUGUGAAAGAUAAAAUCCUUAUGUGAUGGUGAUAGCUUUGCUGUGUACAUGUAUACUCACAGAAGUAGUUCAGAGAUAGAUGGAUUUGCAUUAAAUCUAUGUUUUUUCUUCCU